CUAACAACCAUACUAAACAUGCCCUUGGCACAAUUUGAUGCAAAAAUAACAAUCUGCGUCCGCCGUCAACCUCAACGUCACCCGACAGUCCGGAACAGUCUAUACACUACUGUAAAAAUAAUCUCGGCAUCUCAGCACGAGCGUAAAUUCAUUCUACACUAUUCUGGGUACCACUGCCUACAUACUGCGGCGAUACAAACAAACGACAGCUUCUAAAGCUAAAUAUGGUAUUUUUCAAAAAAUGACAGUGUAGAGGUUAUGAUUUUCUCCUAAGUCAAAUCCAAAUCCAACAUGUAUAAUUAAUCUAGCAUUCUAAGCUCCAAUUCAGAUUUCACUUAAGAACAAUGCAAAUCUACGAAUUGAGCUAUUAAACGUGAUAUACAAAAUCUAAUAAUACAUGC
rnacentral:lncRNA from 1 species